CAGCAGCCGCGGUAAUUCGUAGGGGGCAAGCGUUGUCCGGAAUCAUUGGGCGUAAAGAGCGCGUGGGCGGCCCGAUAAGUCCGCUGUGAAAGUCAAGGGCUUAACCCUUGAAUGCCGGUGGAAACUGUCGGGCUAGAGUCCGGAAGAGGCGAGUGGAAUUCCUGGUGUAGCGGUGAAAUGCGCAGAUAUCAGGAGGAACACCUAUGGCGAAGGCAGCUNGCUGGGACGGUACUGACGCUGAGGCGCGAAAGCGUGGGGAGCAAACAGGAUUAGAUACCCUGGUAGUCCACGCCGUAAACGAUGGGCACUAGGUGUGGGACCCUGUCGACUCCUCCCGUGCCGUAGCUAACGCAUUAAGUGCCCCGCCUGGGGAGUACGGCCGCAAGGCUAAAACUCAAAGGAAUUGACGG
rnacentral:rRNA from 1 species